rnacentral:lncRNA from 1 species
GCCUUAUUAGGGAUUAGGGUUUCUCUUUCGAAGUCAUUCGAGCUUUGGAGGCUAGGAUCAAUAAGUUUAAGAUCUUAGAUACAAAUUAGGUGCAAAUUUUGUAUGAUUUGGAGUUUUUAUGAAGGAAUUAUUGGCACUCAAAGUUAAGGUAUCAAUUUCAUACCUAUUGUCUCUCUUUGGGGCAUAACAUACGUUUAUAGAUAGCAACAAAGAAUUGGCAACUAGGUUUGGA